UAGGGAAUCUUCCACAAUGGACGCAAGUCUGAUGGAGCAACGCCGCGUGAGUGAAGAAGGUUUUCGGAUCGUAAAGCUCUGUUGUUGGUGAAGAAGGAUAGAGGCAGUAACUGGUCUUUAUUUGACGGUAAUCAACCAGAAAGUCACGGCUAACUACGUGCCAGCAGCCGCGGUAAUACGUAGGUGGCAAGCGUUGUCCGGAUUUAUUGGGCGUAAAGCGAGCGCAGGCGGAAUGAUAAGUCUGAUGUGAGAGCCCACGGCUCAACCGUGGAACUGCAUCGGAAACUGUCAUUCUUGAGUGCAGAAGAGGAGAGUGGAACUCCAUGUGUAGCGGUGGAAUGCGUAGAUAUAUGGAAGAACACCAGUGGCGAAGGCGGCUCUCUGGUCUGCAACUGACGCUGAGGCUCGAAAGCAUGGGUAGCGAACAGGAUUAGAUACCCUGGUAGUCCAUGCCGUAAACGAUGAGCGCUAGGUGUUGGGGACUUUCCGGUCCUCAAGUGCCGCAGCAAACGCA
rnacentral:rRNA from 1 species